GACGAACGCUGGCGGCGUGCCUAAUACAUGCAAGUCGAGCGAAUGGAUGGGAGCUUGCUCCCUGAAGUUAGCGGCGGACGGGUGAGUAACACGUGGGCAACCUGCCUGUAAGACUGGGAUAACUUCGGGAAACCGGAGCUAAUACCGGAUACAUUCUUUCUUCGCCUGAAGAAAGAUGGAAAGAUGGUUUCGGCUAUCACUUACAGAUGGGCCCGCGGCGCAUUAGCUAGUUGGUGAGGUAACGGCUCACCAAGGCAACGAUGCGUAGCCGCCCUGGGAGGGGGAUCGGCCACGCUGGGACUGCGACACGGCCCAGACUCCUACGGGAGGCAGCAGUAGGGAAUCUUCCGCAAUGGACGAAAGUCUGACGGAGCAACGCCGCGUGAGCGAAGAAGGCCUUCGGGUCGUAAAGCUCUGUUGUUAGGGAAGAACAAGUACCAGAGUAACUGCUGGUACCUUGACGGUACCUAACCAGAAAGCCACGGCUAACUACGUGCCAGCAGCCGCCGCGGUAA
rnacentral:rRNA from 1 species